UACGAAGGGGGCUAGCGUUGUUCGGAUUUACUGGGCGUAAAGCGCACGUAGGCGGGUCGUUAAGUCAGGGGUGAAAUCCUGGAGCUCAACUCCAGAACUGCCUUUGAUACUGGCGAGCUUGAGUUCGGGAGAGGUGAGUGGAACUGCGAGUGUAGAGGUGAAAUUCGUAGAUAUUCGCAAGAACACCAGUGGCGAAGGCGGCUCACUGGCCCGAUACUUGACGCUGAGGUGCGAAAGCGUGGGGAGCAAACAGGG
rnacentral:rRNA from 1 species